rnacentral:rRNA from 1 species
AAAAGCUCGUAGUUGGAUAUCUGGCCUUUGCGUUGACGACCCGCCCUCUUUUGCGAUGUGUGUUGGAGACGUGGGUCUAUCUUCCGGUUGGUGGCUGUUCCACUUUAUUGGGGCGCAGUUCGCGAUCCGGAUCGUUUACUUUGAAAAAAUUCGAGUGUUCAUAGCAGGCUUACGCCGUGAAGAUCGCAGCAUGGAAUAAUAACAUAGGACUUGGUGUUCUAUUUGUUGGUUCUGGGACCUAAGUAAUGAUUGAUAGGGACAGUUGGGGGUGCUGCUAUAGACUGGCCAGAGGUGAAAUUCUAAGACUCAGUCUAGAGCAACUUAUGCGAAAGCAUUCACCAAGGAUGUCUUCUUUAAUCAAGAACGAAAGUUGGGGGAUCGAAGACGAUCAGAUACCGUCGUAGUCUCAACCAUAAACUAUGCCGACUAGGGAUUGGGGGACGUUGAAUUAUCCGACUUCCUCAGCACCUUAUGAGAAAUCAAAGUCUUUGGGUUCCGGGGGGAGUAUGGUCGCAAGGCUGAAACUUAAAGGAAUUGACGGAAGGACACCACCAGAAGUGGAACUUGCGGUUUAAUUUGACUCAACACGGGAAAACUUAC